UAUUCACUCCCUAUUGCCCGUCAAAUUUUUUAGUUGAUUUUAUUACUCUGCUAGCAAUUUUAGCAUCCCAAUUCCCAACUUGUAAUCUCUCUGUCAUCUAUCAGACUAUCCUCGUUACCUUUACGAAAGGAUUCGUUGUAACAGUCAACCGGAGGUUGCAGAGAACCCUCUGACGAAGACUUCAACACUCACAAUCCCCACUUGUAAUUUUUACGGUCUUCUGUCGAUUCUCCAUCGCCAAGUCAUUCUUUGCAGCGCUGCUUUAAAUUUUCUUGGCUUCAGGGUUCAUCAGAAGAAAUUGGAAAUGGUUAAAAGUUAUGGAUGGUCUUGAUUUGCUAGAGAUAUCAUGUUUCAGUGUGCAGAGGGUCUCAAGCAUUUAUUUGCUUCCUUAUUACGUUUCUGUGACCUUGAUAAGCAGCCAAGGGGCCUUGAAGAUCCCGAACUUCUGGCAAGGGAGACAGUUUUCAGUGUAAGUGAAAUAGAAGCACUCUAUGAGCUCUUUAAGAAAAUCAGCUGUGCUGUGAUUGAUGAUGGGCUGAUUAACAAGGAGGAGUUCCAGUUAGCACUAUUCAAGACGAACAAAAAGGAGAGUUUGUUUGCUGAUCGGGUAUUUGAUUUGUUUGACACAAAGCACAAUGGGAUACUAGGCUUUGAAGAAUUUGCUCGUGCUUUAUCUGUUUUCCAUCCGAAUGCCCCUAUUGAUGAAAAGAUUGAAUUUUCUUUUCAACUGUAUGAUCUCAAGCAGCAAGGUUUUAUUGAAAGGCAGGAGGUGAAGCAAAUGGUAGUAGCUACGCUUGCUGAAUCUGGGAUGAACUUAUCAGAUGAUGUUAUUGAAAGUAUAAUUGACAAGACUUUUGAGGAAGCAGAUACAAAGCACGAUGGCAAAAUUGACAAGGAGGAGUGGAGAAGCCUUGUUUUACGCCACCCGUCACUUUUGAAGAAUAUGACCCUUCAAUAUCUCAAGGACAUCACCACAACAUUCCCAAGCUUUGUGUUCCAUUCACAAGUAGAUGAUACUUGAAGCUCCGGUUUUCAGUCUGUUCCGUUCAUGUUGCCAAAGAUUCGUUUUCCUGCAGGAUUUAGAGUUUCCUCCUGACUCCCUUACUUUGGUCAUAUCAUAAUUCUGAAGGAGACGAAGAUGAAGAGCAAACUUGCAGGCAAAGAUUGGAAUUUAGGUGUCAGCUGUUCAAUCUCGCUCAGUCCCAGUUGCUAUCCCUUCGGUUCAUUAUCCUCAAAAGAUUCCUACUAUGAAGGAGAAUGGAACGAGCAUUUCAAUUUGUUCUCAUAAGAUAAGGUGUUUCAUCCGAGAAGAGCGUUACCAUACUGAUCAUUCUUUGAUUUUUAAUCUUUUACACCUCGAUUAUUAUUGUCCGUCUCUUUCCAAUGUCAUGAGAGCAACGAAUAGAACAUGUUUCUCUUUGUUAUGACUACAUCUACUAUCUUGUCCUUCUUCGGCCGAAACGCCGAAUGUUACUCAGUUCAAAAGAUGAAGUUGAAGUUUAAUUUUUAA